AAUAUAUCCGGAAGCAACUGUCAUGGCUGCUGUCAGUGAGGGCCCGUAAUGGAGAUCGAGUCAAGGGUUGCCCAGGGACACUUAAGAGCCUUCGGCUUCAAGGAGGCCUCUCAAAGGACAAAGGAUGAGACUGCCUGGCGGCAGAGUGCCCCCCACAAUCGUAGGAACUGUGUCGCCGCGCUUCCCGUUAACUUGCCGCUAAGUUUUUCUAGAAAAGUCGCCCUUCUUGCCAGGGGUGUCCUAUAGACUUUGUCAUGGAGUGAAACAGAAACAAAUAAUGGCCUGUCCAGAAGACAGCCAAAUACAUCCUUCAAACAGACUUCACUGCAGGAGACAGAGUGGAUUCAUCCUGUAUUCUCCAUGUAGACUUCCAUCUUCAUGAGUACUCCAAGAAGAUGGUUCAGUUGACUAUUGCAAAGGAUGAAAGCAUGGGUCCCUGAGAAUUUCAUUACUUGCAACCUGAAUGGAAAAAUCACUUGAAAGCAUCAUGUGUGAACGCUUUGGAUACAAAAGAGAUCAAUAGAGUUGGCCUGGAACAAGAGAUGCCCUUGAAUGCAAGUUGUAACAACUGAGAGAAAUUGCCCAGACACUGCAACGGGAGUUGCCAACAAAGUAACAGAGUCAGAGAAGAGCUGAGUCUUGGGAAUGAAAAAGUGAUGAGGGGAUGACUUCCACAGUGGGUAUCCGGUCAUUUGGGCUGCUGCUCUGCCCUCAUCAAAGUGAUUUCCACUCUAAGCCUUUGCUAAUUUCACAACAGGAAAGCAUGCAAGAAAUUCGAGAACAAAACAAAUCUACACGCAGAGCCCAGCAUCUUCAAGCAAACACCCUGAGGUACAGACCCGAGGCUAGAUGAGUCCGGACUGCAGAUGAGGCAGCUGCCUCUUAAACUGCAAGGGGACUGAAAAAGUCAUUUGCCUCUAAAAAAACCAACUCUGAAUACAAAUUGAUAAUGAAUAUUCAUGAGCCCCUCCAGCUUGCUCUAGAGCCACCCUUGACUGCAACCCUGGACUCUGCUUCCUAAAAAGUUUCCCAAAGCUCUUUCUCUGCCUCCUCUCAGAAGGAAGAGGGUGGGAAAGUUCAUUCAGGGCUUUUUGCCUCCAGCUUUCAAGUACUUGCUUUUUGGUCUGGGCUUUUAUUUUUCCUUCUAUUUUUUUUUUCUUAAGGAUUCAGAUCAAAUCAAUUUUGGUCUUACCCUUUGUAUCUUCCAUAAGUAGCAGCUUUUGUUUUCCUCCUCUUUCCUCGUCUUUCCCCCCCCCAGCCUCUGCUUGCUGUGGUCCGUCUCCGUGAGAGAGGUCCUCAAGGAAACAGAGAUAUAACAGACCCUUGGGCUCGUGGGAGGGGCUAAAUUAGCCGGCCCCGUUUCGGAAGGAACCUCAAACCCUGUCUUUUUCAUUGACUAGAAAGGACAGAUUGACUGAGGAGUCCAGCAGCUCAUUUUCCUAAAGUUACUCGAAGCCUUUUCCAGGUUGUAAUUUUUUGCAUCCUUGAAGCAAUGUAUAUUCAAAUCUCUCUCUCUUUCUCCCUUCUUCCCUCUCUCCCUUACUCCCUCCCUCUUCAUCUCUCUCUCCCUCUCUUCGUUAUAGAAAUCCCUUUUUCUCCCUUGAAAAAGUCAUCUCAGCUGCAAGCAAAAAAAGCUAUUCCUUACUGCAAUUAUGAAGCUAGAUAAUAAGAAAGUUGUUACCUUGAAACCCGCUCGAAAAACUGAAAGUCAAGAACAGUUCUUCCCUCCCCAUAAAGCCUCUGGUCCCAUGACCAGCAAUCCUUUCUCAAGGCUCAUUAGAGCAAAGAGCAACAGGUGACCCAAGCGAUGAGUUUCCUGCAGGAGACGCUGCGUUAUUGGUUGGAAGGCUGGGUGGAACCACAGAGGAGCUGCUCAAUGGGAACCGCUGCCUGGCUAUGAAUUGAUGAAAGUCAUCCACCAUUUCCCAACUUUGACUUCCUACCUUUGAAGUCUAAUGAGCAUGAAUUACCACAUCCAGACCGUCAAGAUUACCCCAAUGUAGAUGAGAGCCUGACCAAAUUAUUUUUAAACUGUGUAACAAAAUUAUUUUGAAAUCAAAACAAGGGCUAAUCCUUUGAAAGGAAGGUAAGUCCUCAAGUCCCAAGGCGACUUGGCAGCUUCUCCCUCCACAAGGCUGUUGCAAACCUUAGCAUUUCAGGUCUGAAAGAUACCUCAGACAUUGAGUCUAAAAGAGGUUAGAGAUGUGGAGAGGUUAAGCCACCUGCUCAUGCUCACAUACAUGGUCUCUCUUAUUUGCUACCAUGUUCCCCAGCACCUAAUACAGUUUCUCUCACAGCAUGGGCUCUCAAUAAAUAUUUGAUGAAUGGUUGAAAAAAAUGAAUGAAUUGCAGCAAAGCAGAAAUGUAGAUCUGUUUUCCUGUUUCCUAGUUCUUGAUUUUUCUACAUUGCUUGUCUGGCAUGUAAAUUUGUAUCUAAAGCCAGUUAUACCAUAUAAAUCAUUAAAUUUGUGAGCCCGAAGGACUGUUUUGACUCUAUGUAGAAACUAUAUUCUCCAGCGAGCUUUCAGUCAUACUUUAAUAAGGACAAAGGAUAACCUUUUAGUUUAGGCAUCUCUGUUACUUUGCACGGUGCCACAUGGUAUAUACUCAAUACAUUUUUUAUACUUUAAUAAAUUUGGAGCUGUUUAACAAUACUUUAUUUCUGAAAUGCUUUAUAGUUAUAGGAUUUUGCAUGUAUGAUAACAACUAAUUACACUGAAUGAAAGACUCAAUGGAUGUCUUCUCCCGAGUCAGUUUAGACUACAUCUCUAAUAAUGAAUAUUGGUCUGAUAUUCAUCCUGUUAUGAUAAAACUGGUUUUUGGUGAUAUGAUGGGAUUUUUUGUAAAAACCAACAAUUGGUUUAUGACUGCCUUUGUACUAUUGUUUUGGAGAGAAAUUUGAAAAGAGCAUGUCCACAAAAUAGUGUGCGAAUUACAGAAUGGAAACCAAAACAUCAAAGCUAGAAAGAGAAAAGAAUGAUCAAAGGGAAGAUCCAGAGUGGCUGAGGGGUAGGCAGGAGAAACAGACAAACAAGUACCUGAGCUUGUCAAUGAGAGACACACUUUGGUGGGUGCUGUGGCAACGGUUCUCUACUUUAUUACAUUAGGAUAUUAGGUUCUUUUUUUUUUUUUUUUUUUGAGACAAGAGUUUUACUCUUGUCUCCCAGGCUGGAGUGCAAUGGAGCCAUCUCAGCUUACUGCACCCUCUGCCUCCCGGGUUCAAGUGAUUCUCCUGCCUCUGCCUCCAAGUAGCUGGGAUUACAGGCGCCCGCCACCUUGCCCAGCUAAUUUGUGUAUUUUUAGUAGAGAUGGGGUUUCACCAUGUUGGUCAGGCUGGUCUCGAACUCCUGACCUCAGGUGAUCCGCCCGCCUCAGCCUCCCAAAGUGCUGGGAUUACAGGCGUGAGCCACCAUGCCUGGCCUAUUUUACUACGUUCUUACAUUCUUUUUUUUGAGACAGAGCCUCACUCUGUCAUCCAGGCUGGAGUGCAGUGGCGUGAUCUUGGCUCACUGCAACCUCUGCCUCCCAGGUUCAAGUGAUUCUUGUGCCUCAGCCUCCCGCGUAACUGGGAUUAUAGAUGCGCACCACUAAGCCUGGCUAAUUUUUGUAUUUUUAGUAGAGAUUGGGUUUCACCAUGUUGUCCAGGCUGGUCUCAAACUCCUGGCCUCAAGUGAUCCGCUUGCCUUGGCCUCCCAAAGUGCUAGGAUUACAGGUGUGAGCCACAGUGCCUAGCCACAGUUCUCUAUUUUAAACAAAAUUAAAAUUCAAGGUCACUUCAGUCAUGUUGUAUCAGACGUUGUCGACAAAAGGUUACUUUGACAAUUGUCUCAUUCUCUUUACAUUUCAUCAGGGAGAGAAAGAGUUAGUAAAAAGUAAAUUGUUCUAGUACCCAACUUCUGGUUUAACCAGGAGAGGUAAAAUCUCAUUAUAGUAACUAGCACUUCAUAAAUAUUUGAAGUUCAUCCAAACUGAAUAUGGAGUAAUAGAAACAUAGUUUUAACCCCUAAUUCAUAUUACAUGAGCCUUUUGACAACAUUUAAUGCUUUUUAUGGUAAUAUGCUCUGUGCUACAAUUUAAUCACGUUGUCCAGGUUCGCACCCUCCUCAGCAUCAUGAAAAUACUAUGGUUAAGUAUAUAUUAUCACCAAUUCAUACAAGAAUAAUUAUAAAAGAGAUGGGAGUUUGUGUGUAUCUUUCUAAAGGCCUCAGAAUUUAUCUUAAAAAAUAAAUCGUCUUUCUCAAC
rnacentral:lncRNA from 1 species